UCACGAUAUACGCUGCCUUGCCUUACGUAAAGAAAUCAGGGAUGUUUUCAGUAAGGCUUCCUAACAAGUACAACGUCUCUUUCGACUACUACUAUUUUCUUCUCAUAACCAUGGCCUCGUAUAUACCGCACUUUCCUCCAAAUCUGCUGCACGGAUAGUCGUAUAUCCAGCCGGUACGAUCUGUACACACACAUCUGUGUGAUCCAUGACAGAAGCCCACAGGCCCAGCUGUGGGGACUGUCUGAUGAGGACUCUGUUCUGGCUGCCCCUUAGACACCACAUCUGAGACUAUGGCCCAGGUCCUGUCCUGCUCCAAGGGUUAAUCUCAGCAUUAACGCGUGAUGUUCCGAGAGCAUGUGCAGCUGUUCAGUGG
rnacentral:lncRNA from 1 species